UGUCGCCCCUUUCUCCUUGGCAUGGGGCCCUUCUUGGGCAUCCCCCUUGCUGGUGUGAGGUAUCACACCAGUAUCUCUCCUUCUUCAUUUGAUUGGAUUGCGAAGGUGAUUCGAUCGGAGUUCAUCUUGCUUUCCUGCGGCAUCUGACGUGCAUGUGAAGUAGAGGGUCUGCACAUCUAGGCCUCUGUGAAAGUUUAAUUCAGAUUAUUU
rnacentral:lncRNA from 1 species